UCUUGGCAAAGUCAGAAGGCACUAAAAACCUGGCUGGAAUAAAAUUUUGUGGGUAGAAAUUCUGAGGCAGGUUCCAAUACAGGUAAAGCCUUCCUUUCUCCGGCAACGGGGGAAAAGAGACAAGCCUGGAAGAGGUUUUCUACAACCAGCCAUACACAGUACUCUAAAAUAGCUGAAGAGCAAUGUUAUGCUCUACCAUGCAAAGAGCCUGGACUGUUCCUGUCACUUACCCACUCUAGGCCACUAAAACGAAGGUGAUAACACCUGCCUGGCUGGUUCUGAGAAAGAGAGAAGAUGGAUAAUGUGUGUGAAGGACCUGUCACAAUCCCAGGUACACAGUAAGUGCUUAACAAAGUGUAACUCUGAUCAUCAAAAUACCUGCUAGGACAUUACCUGCCUUAUCCUCUUUUAUGUCGUAAAUUUCCCUUCUCUUCCAUCCACAGAAU
ensembl:lncRNA